rnacentral:rRNA from 1 species
AAACUGAAGAGUUUGAUCCUGGCUCAGAUUGAACGCUGGCGGUAUGCUUAACACAUGCAAGUCGAACGGUAACAGCAGAGCUUGCUCUGGCUGACGAGUGGCGGACGGGUGC